UCUGGNUCAGCUGGGGGCGUGCGGUGGGUACGGGCUGGCUUGAGUGCGGUAGGGGAGACUGGAACUCCUGGGGUAGCGGUGGAACGCGCAGAUAUCAGGAGGAACACCGGUGGCGAAGGCGGGUCUCUGGGCCGUUACUGACGCUGAGGAGCGAAAGCGUGGGGAGCGAACAGGAUUAGAUACCCUGGUAGUCCACGCUGUAAACGUUGGGCACUAGGUGUGGGGGGCCUUUUCCGGGUUUUCCGCGCCGUAGCUAACGCAUUAAGUGCCCCGCCUGGGGAGUACGGCCGCAAGGCUAAAACUCAAAGGAAUUGACGGGGGCCCGCACAAGCGGCGGAGCAUGCGGAUUAAUUCGAUGCAACGCGAAGAACCUUACCAAGGCUUGACAUGGGCUGGAUUGCUUCGGAGACGGGGUUUCCCUUUUUGGGCUGGUUCACAGGUGGUGCAUGGUUGUCGUCAGCUCGUGUCGUGAGAUGUAGGGUUAAGUCCCGCAACGAGCGCAACCCUUGUCUCGUGUUGCCAGCACGUUGUGGUGGGACUCGCGGGAGACUGCCGGGGUUAACUCGGAGGAAGGUGGGGAUGACGUCAAAUCAUCAUGCCCCUUAUGUCUUGGGCUUCACGCAUGCUACAAUGGCCGGUACAGUGGGUUGCGAUGCUGUGAGGCGGAGCGAAUCCCUGAAAGCCGGUCUCAGUUCGGAUCGGUGUCUGCAACUCGACACCGUGAAGUUGGAGUCGCUAGUAAUCGCAGAUCAGCAGCGCUGCGGUGAAUACGUUCUCGGGCCUUGUACACACCGCCCGUCACGUCAUGAAAGCUGGCAACACCCGAAGCCCGUGGCCUUAUGGGGAG
rnacentral:rRNA from 1 species